GAGCGUGACGCUUUUGGCGUGUUACUCUGCAAAGGUAUUACAGGCAUUUUCUGCCCUCGCUUU
rnacentral:tRNA from 1 species